GCCUUCGUGGUUUAACGGUAGCACACUCGGCUCGUAUUCUAGAGGUCCAGGUUCGAGUCCCGGCGAGGGCA
rnacentral:tRNA from 1 species